ensembl:lncRNA
CAAAAGACUGAAAAUGCCCCCACACCCUGCCGCACCUCUGAUUCUCCUCUAUAACAAACACACACAGAGCCAUGUCAGUGUGUGUGUCCUGCUUCUACUUCCUCGUGUAUCCUCUGAGUUAUGACAGCUGGACUGGACAUGUGUUCAGCUGGCCAUGUGGGCACAUGAAUGAGGGAAGAAUCAAAAACCCCAGACACUUGUUAAUCAGCUCUGACUGCCAGCUUCCAAUAAACUAACAGUGUUACAGACGGGAACUGAAAUCUCACACCCACGGACAUCUUGAGAAGCCGGGACUUUGCCCCAGUACCACUGGCCCACCUCAGAGUUUCAUCACUUACAUCAGAGCAUGGAUUAUCUUCAGAUCAGCCACAUCUGUUUUGAUCUCAUGGCACUUUCUGGACUGUGAAAAGAAAAGGACGGGGAAGCUUACAGUGUUGUGAGGAAUACCACUUUGUUGCAGGGACUCUGUGCUUCAUAUGAUGUGCAGUUUCUAGAAACAUGCUUAUAAAAACAGUUGUUCUGUGAGGGUUCUGUAGGAUCCAGUUCCACCAACCCUUCCAUCGAAGCACCACACAAAUGUUGGUUCCUCGUCUCAGUAACCGUUCCUGAUUAUUGAUGUGAAUUAUUGAUGGCAGGGCUGCCUGAUGUGGACAAAAUGACAAAUAUUGCAUAGUUAAAGAAUGGCCUGCAUUAUUUUGACCAAAACGAUUUCAGCUCAGUUUGUCAGCUCGUUUAUUAGCGCCCUAAUAGCUGGUGAACAGGACUAAUUAAAGGGGAAGUUUACCAGUUUUUCAAGAUUGUAAACAAAGACCUUCAGAACAGUUAGAUUUGAAAUAUUCCAGUCUAGAGAAACUAACCAAGUCAAAAUUAUUCACAGCGGUCUUGACAGGAACCAGACAUCUGAAGCAUUUUAGUGCUUCCUAAAGGCACAUCGCAGAAAACUGUUGCAUUAAAUGGUUAUGAAUACACUGCCUGGUGCCUGGGACAUUGUUUUACAGCACACUCAAAAAAAUGAUGGUUCUUUCAAGGGUUCUUUAGUAAAGAAAAUGGUUCUAUAGAGAACCAGGAACACUUUUCAUG